AGUCGAGCGGAUGAGAGGAGCUUGCUCCUUGAUUUAGCGGCGGACGGGUGAGUAAUGCCUAGGAAUCUGCCUGGUAGUGGGGGAUAACGUUCCGAAAGGAACGCUAAUACCGCAUACGUCCUACGGGAGAAAGCAGGGGACCUUCGGGCCUUGCGCUAUCAGAUGAGCCUAGGUCGGAUUAGCUAGUUGGUGAGGUAAUGGCUCACCAAGGCGACGAUCCGUAACUGGUCUGAGAGGAUGAUCAGUCACACUGGAACUGAGACACGGUCCAGACUCCUACGGGAGGCAGCAGUGGGGAAUAUUGGACAAUGGGCGAAAGCCUGAUCCAGCCAUGCCGCGUGUGUGAAGAAGGUCUUCGGAUUGUAAAGCACUUUAAGUUGGGAGGAAGGGCAGUAAGCUAAUACCUUGCUGUUUUGACGUUACCGACAGAAUAAGCACCGGCUAACUUCGUGCCAGCAGCCGCGGUAAUACGAAGGGUGCAAGCGUUAAUCGGAAUUACUGGGCGUAAAGCGCGCGUAGGUGGUUCGUUAAGUUGGAUGUGAAAGCCCCGGGCUCAACCUGGGAACUGCAUCCAAAACUGGCGAGCUAGAGUACGGUAGAGGGGUGGGUGGAAUUUCCUGUGUAGCGGUGAAAUGCGUAGAUAUAGGAAGGAACACCAGUGGCGAAAGCGACCACCUGGACUGAUACUGACACUGAGGUGCGAAAGCGUGGGGAGCA
rnacentral:rRNA from 1 species